rnacentral:rRNA from 1 species
GACGAUCGAUGGCGGCGUGCUUAACACAUGCAAGUCGAACGAAGUGGCGAACGGGUGAGUAAUACGUGGGUAACCUGCCCGCCUUUCGGGGAUAAGCCUUGGAAACGGGGUCUAGUACCGAAUAAAGGGGGAUGGGCCCGCGGCCUAUCAGUGUGUUGGUGGGGUGCUGGCCUACCACGGCGGUGUCGGGUAGCCGGCCUGGGAGGGUGACCGGCCACAUUGGGACUGAGAUACGGGCCAGACUCCUACGGGAGGCAGCAGUGGGGGAUAUUGCACAAUGGGCGAAAGCCUGAUGCAGCGACGCCGCGUGGGGGAUGAAGGCUUUCGGGUUGUAAACCUCUUUCGCUCUCGAACGGGUAGGUGGAGAAGUAGCGCCGGCUAACUACGUGCCAGCCGCCGCGGUAAUAC